CACGGGGGGGGCAAGCGUUGUCCGGAAUUAUUGGGCGUAAAGGGCGCGUAGGCGGGAUAAUAAGUCUAUGGUGAAAUCUUACGGCUUAACCGUAAGCUUGCCUUGGAUACUGUUAUUCUUGAGUUCGGAAGAGGGAAGUGGAAUUCCUGGUGUAGCGGUGAAAUGCGUAGAUAUCAGGAAGAACACCGGUGGCGAAGGCGACUUCCUGGUCCGAUACUGACGCUGAGGCGCGAAAGCGUGGGGAGCAAACAGGAUUAGAUACCCUCGUA
rnacentral:rRNA from 1 species